rnacentral:rRNA from 1 species
AGCAGCCGCGGUAAUUCCAGCUCCAAUAGCGUAUAUUAAAGUUGUUGCAGUUAAAAAGCUCGUAGUUGAAUUUCGGAAUCUGUCCGUUGGUCGGGCUUAAUUGUCCGUACUGAUGUGAUGGGUUCUUACCUUCUGAAUAACCAGCAUGCCAUUAAUUUAGUGUGUUGGGGAAGCAGGACUAUUACCUUGAAAAAUUAGAGUGCUCAAAGCAGGCUAGUGCCUGAAUACAUUAGCAUGGAAUAAUAAAAUGGGACGGCAUGGUUCUAUUUUGUUGGUUUCUAGGAUCACCGUAAUGAUUAAUAGGGAUAGUUGGGGGCAUUAGUAUUCAAUUGUCAGAGGUGAAAUUCUUGGAUUUAUUGAAGACUAAACUUCUGCGAAAGCAUUUGCCAAGGAUGUUUUCAUUAAUCAAGAACGAAAGUUAGGGGAUCGAAGACGAUCAGAUACCGUCGU